CUUGGCGGGAUGGGUGAUUGCUUUUAGCCACGAUCGGGAGAGUUUCAGUGGUGAUUGGGUGGGUGAUUGAUGACUGCGGCAAGGUCCGCUGUCUGUUGGCUGCUGCUGCGUCAAUCAGAAGGGUGACUGGCGGCUGCUGGCUCAGAGCGGGCAGUCAAUAGAUAUUUUUAGUGGCGCAUAUGACUUUUAGCGCCGCUCCGGCGGGGUAGCAAUUUUUGGCAACCUCCCCCCCCCCCCCAAAAAAGCUCAAGCACUCUGGGCUGUCCUCUGCUAAAAAACCCCUCAACAAUUCUGGCAAUCUUCCCCCAUUUUCUGAAUUUUGAGUCUCCCAAAAUAGGGCGUUGUCUUAUACAUGGGGGCAUCUAAUACACGGAAAAAUAUGGUAAUCCAAGAAAAAAAACGGGGAGGGAAGGGUGAGGUUCUAGAAAGGGAAAGGUGGCUGGGUUAUUAGGGAACUCAGCCAAAACCUGACCAAAACAAGAGGGCAGUCUGGUCUGGAGGGUGAGAUGUCUCUUCCCACUAAGUGAGGUCAGAAGAUUAGAACCUACCUGCCAGAGCUAGUGGGAGGAACUAUUCCAAAGUAUGGAAUGCCCUUGGAACCACAGGUGAAUAGCUGUGUUUGAUACUGAGGUUCACUAAUAUGGGUUGAAACUUACACUUUGUUCAAACAUAGGCAUUGAAAGGAUGGAAAAAUACUUAAUUUCCCUUGUGCCACUCUUUAAACACACCCUAAAGGUUAACAGGUAACUAUUUAUUAUUUCAUAAGGUUUUUAAAAUGUAUUUGCACCCACACAUAUGCUUUAUUCCAUGCAAGAUGGGAAAGAAACUUGUCUUUGUCUUGAAAAGAUUAAUAAUCAAAAUGACAAAUGCAGGAAAGGCAGGAAACAUGUUCUACCAAGGGAUAAUAUAGCAAAAUAUUCAGUUUGAGGCUAAGGGAUAUGCCAGAGAAUUGUUUUUACUGCAAAAGACGAGGUUUGUCCUUGAUCACUGUUCCCAAAUAUGUCAAAAGGUUAAACUUUCAAACCAUUUCAAUAUAAAUGUUUUUCUUCCCCCUCCUGUUUGCACGGAGUAAGUUUAAUAGGAUUUUUCUAUAGGGACAUUCAAAGAUCUUGGAUACAAUUAGGUCAAUGGAAACUAUUAAAUUUAAUGUAAUCAAAAGUUACAGCGAUUAUUAAGGAAAUAUCAACUAGCCUUUCAUCGCAAGUCGUCUUUGGGCAGAGCAUAUCUGAGAGCUGUUUUAGGACUGUAAAGCUUGAAACUUGAUUGCAUUAUGCAAUGUAUUUUAAUUUAUUUGUUUAAUACAUUCUUUCAUGAUUUGUCUCAAAGAACUUCCAACUGUUUUCUUGCACCCAUGGAACUGACCCAAC